rnacentral:rRNA from 1 species
UACGUAGGGAGCAAGCGUUGUCCGGAAUCAUUGGGCGUAAAGCGCGCGUAGGUGGCCUCAUAAGUCCGCUGUGAAAGUCAAAGGCUCAACCUUUGAAAGCCGGUGGAUACUGUGGGGCUAGAGUACGGAAGAGGCGAGUGGAAUUCCCGGUGUAGCGGUGAAAUGCGUAGAGAUCGGGAGGAACACCAGUGGCGAAGGCGGCCUUCUGGACCAGCACUGACACUCAAGCACGAAAGCGUGGGGAGCAAACAGG